CGCUGGCGGCGUGCUUAACACAUGCAAGUCGAACGAACCUUCGGGUUAGUGGCGGACGGGUGAGUAACGCGUGGGAAUCUGCCCUCAGGAGGGGGAUAACGGCUGGAAACGGCCGCUAAUACCCCAUAUGCCGAGAGGUGAAAAGAAAUUCGCCUGAGGAUGAGCCCGCGUCUGAUUAGCUAGUUGGUGGGGUAAGAGCCCACCAAGGCGACGAUCAGUAGCUGGUCUGAGAGGAUGAUCGGCCACACUGGGACUGAGACACGGCCCAGACUCCUACGGAGGCAGCAGUGGGGAAUUUUCCGCAAUGGGCGAAAGCCUGACGGAGCAACGCCGCGUGAGGGAUGAAGGCCUCUGGGCUGUAAACCUCUUUUCUCAAGGAAGAAGACAUGACGGUACUUGAGGAAUAAGCCACGGCUAAUUCCGUGCCAGCAGCCGCGGUAAUACGGGAGUGGCAAGCGGUAUCCGGAAUUAUUGGGCGUAAAGCGUCCGCAGGCGGCCCUGUAAGUCUGUCGUUAAAGCGUGGAGCUUAACUCCAUUUAAGCGAUGGAAACUACAGGGCUUGAGUGUGGUAGGGGCAGAGGGAAUUCCCGGUGUAGCGGUGAAAUGCGUAGAUAUCGGGAAGAACACCAGUGGCGAAGGCGCUCUGCUGGGCCAUAACUGACGCUCAUGGACGAAAGCCAGGGGAGCGAAAGGGAUUAGAUACCCCUGUAGUCCUGGCCGUAAACGAUGAACACUAGGUGUCGGGGGAAUCGACCCCCUCGGUGUCGUAGCCAACGCGUUAAGUGUUCCGCCUGGGGAGUACGCACGCAAGUGUGAAACUCAAAGGAAUUGACGGGGGCCCGCACAAGCGGUGGAGUAUGUGGUUUAAUUCGAUGCAACGCGAAGAACCUUACCAGGGUUUGACAUCCUGCGAAUCCCUUGGAAACGAGGGAGUGCCUUCGGGAGCGCAGAGACAGGUGGUGCAUGGCUGUCGUCAGCUCGUGUCGUGAGAUGUUGGGUUAAGUCCCGCAACGAGCGCAACCCACGUCUUUAGUUGCCAUCAUUCAGUUGGGCACUCUAGAGAGACCGCCGGUGAUAAACCGGAGGAAGGUGUGGAUGACGUCAAGUCAUCAUGCCCCUUACAUCCUGGGCUACACACGUACUACAAUGCUACGGGCAAAGGGCAGCAAGCUCGCGAGAGUUAGCAAAUCCCAUAAACCGUGGCUCAGUUCAGAUCGUAGGCUGCAACUCGCCUACGUGAAGGAGGAAUCGCUAGUAAUCGCAGGUCAGCAUACUGCGGUGAAUACGUUCCCGGGCCUUGUACACACCGCCCGUCACACCAUGGAAGUUGGCCAUGCCCGAAGUCGUUACUCCAACCCUA
rnacentral:rRNA from 1 species